ACCCGCUGAACUUAAGCAUAUCAAUAAGCGGAGGAAAAGAAACCAACAGGGAUUGCCCUAGUAACGGCGAGUGAAGCGGCAAUAGCUCAAAUUUGAAAGCUGGCCUUUGGUCCGCAUUGUAAUUUGUAGAGGAUGCUUUUAGGCAGCCGCCGGUCUAAGUUCCUUGGAACAGGACGUCAUAGAGGGUGAGAAUCCCGUAUGUGACCGGCUCAGGCACCUUCUGUAAAGCUCCUUCGACGAGUCGAGUUGUUUGGGAAUGCAGCUCUAAAUGGGAGGUAAAUUUCUUCUAAAGCUAAAUACUGGCGAGAGACCGAUAGCGCACAAGUAGAGUGAUCGAAAGAUGAAAAGUACUUUGGAAAGAGAGUUAAAAAGCACGUGAAAUUGUUGAAAGGGAAGCGCUUGCAAUCAGACUUGGCCUCGGUUGUUCAACCGGUCUUUUGACCGGCCUAUUCAAUCGGGGGCAGGCCAGCAUCAGUUUCGGCGGCCGGAUAAAGGCCUUGGGAAUGUGGCCUCUCCUUCGGGGGAGGUGUUAUAGCCCAGGGUGUAAUACGGCCAGCUGGGACUGAGGUCCGCGCUUCGGCUAGGAUGCUGGCGUAAUGGUUGUAAGCGGCCCGUCUUGAAACACGG
rnacentral:rRNA from 1 species